CUGCGGGGGCGGGGGGGGCAGAGAAGGUGUUUUCUCCCCUGCCCCCGGGCACGCAGCGAGGGAGGAGGCUGGCGGGAAGUAGAGCCCGCGCCGGGCGCGGAGGAUCGAUGACUCGGCCGGUGGGCACGGCCACCUGGGUGAGGGGCAGCGGAGGGGGCAGCGGAACGCCGAUGUCAUGGAUGGGCUUGGAGGGGGACGCCACUGCUCAGGGCCGUUUUGGCGGCUGAUCGGGAUUGGCCGAAGCUGCGGCUCUCGCGCUUGGCUCGCCGACCGCCAUUUCACAUCCUGCAGAGGAGGCGGGGGCAAUGGCGAAGAUGGUUUUCUACAAGGGUCCCUGUGAGUCAGAAUCAACUCGAUGGCAACAGGUUUACUAUGCCUAAAGUCAUAGUGUGCAUAAAUCACUGUUGUAAGACAAGAUUUGAAAAAUAUGAAUUCACCUUCUCUUCAGCCCUGUGCCCAAGCCAAUAGGAACAUGAGAACAUGGAUUUUAAAAUGUGCCACCUCAGAGCAGAGGGGAAGCCAAAGCUGUGAAAUUGGAUAUGCAGUAUGACAUGCUCUUCAGCUGGUCAUGGAACAAAAUAUUUUCUGAAGAGCUGGCUGAGUGUUGUGUAAUGUCCUGUAUGCAUCUGUGGGCCCACAGCUGAGUGAGAGGGCAAAGACAUACAAGUUUCGUUGCAGAAUUUCCCAGACAGAGAAGUUCUUCCAUUUGGUUUGCCAGCAGAUUUGAAACAGUGGUGAGCCCCGGAGACAAAAGAGCGUUUACUGCCAACAACACGACCCUGCACAGUAAGACUCACAUCAGGCUGAAGGCAGCGCAGCGUGACCUGACCUGAUUCUGGAGACAUUCGUGCUGGGACUCCUUGGGGCUACUGAAUGAGGAUGAGAUGGACUAACAGGAACGGACUGACUCUGCCAUGCUGGAAGUUGGUAAUAAACAUUUAGAGAACAAUCUCAAAGCAGCCAUUUUUUUUUUUUUUUUUUUAAAUAAUGUUUCUUUAAGCACACAUUUGAGUUGGGUUUUAAGCACACAUUUGUAAUCCCUAAUUCAGUUCCGGCCACAGAGUGAAGGAGAGGGAGGGGUAAUGUUAAGGAUUGAAUUGUGUCCCCCCAAAAGGUGUGUUGGAAUCCUACCCCCUAAACCUGUGGGUAUAAUCCUACUUGGGAAUAAGGUUUUCUUUCUCAUAUUAAUGAGGUCAUAUCAGUGUAGGCCAUGUCUUAAUCUAAUGACUUUUGAGAUAUAAAAAGAGCAGCUUAGGCACAGAAGCAAGGGGACACAAAUGGCGGAAAGGUAGAUGCCGUGUGGAGAUCGCCAAGGAACCAAGGAACGCCAGCGUUACAGAAGCUGAGACAGGUAGCUUCCCCCAGAGCCGACAGAGAGAGCCUUCCCCUAGAGCUGGUGCCUUGAAUUCAGACUUCUAGCCUGAACUGUGAGAAAAUAAAUUUCUGUUCUUUAGAACCACCCACUUAUGGUAAUUCUGUAUGUUUCUACACGAAACUAAAGCAGGCAUUAAGAGGAAAAGGCAGGAGAAUAGGAAGGGAUAAAAAGGCAGACAGACAGGAAAGAAGCAAGGAAAGCAGGGAAACCUUGAAGGAAACUUUUUUUUUUUAAUUUGCCCUUUAGUGGUGUAGGAGACUUAGUUAAAUUGUGGUUUUUAUGUGUUACUGGGUAUGAGAAGUGGCAGUUGGAAGAAACGCAAAAGAACGAAUAUAGGUAAAAGGCAAGAGUGUUAUAGGGUAAGCUAGUUCACCGGGAAGGGUCUAGGCAGACAGCACAGAAUAGGAAGAGAGUUCAGAGAUGGGAGGGAGACCUGUUGAGCCUGGAUAGGGAAGAAAGAAUAACACUGAACCCUGAGUGCAGGAAAACAAUGAAGGAGAGAAGACCCAAGUUUCCAUCAUCACUGAGGGAGCUACCAUGACCCCAGCCAGCCUAGGUCUGCUGGGUUGUGGGUGGUGUCAUGGGGUGGAGAUGGGAGGUGAAGGGAGGACACACGAGUAGGGGUUCAAGUCAGCCCCAUUACUCCCCAACAGCUUGAUUUCAGCUGGUGGUGCAGUGGUUAAGAGCUCAAGUGCUAACCAAAAUGUUGGCAGUUCAAACCUACCAGCUGCUCCUUGGAAACCCUACAGGGCAGUUCUACUCUGUUCUGUAGUGUUACUGUGAGUUGGAAUCAACUCAACAGCAACAGGUUUGUUUGUUUUUUAUCAGGGAACCAAAGAGUCCUUGUGUGGUACAAAUGAUUAAGUGCUCGACUAUUAGCCGAAAGAUUGGCAGUUGAAACCUACCCAGAGGCACCUUGGAAGACAGGCUUGGCUAUCUGCUUCUGAAGGGCCACAGCCUUGAAAACCCAAUGGAGCACAGUUCUACCCUGCACAUGGGGUCGCUGUGAGUCAGAACUGACUCCAGGGCAAUGAACAACAACGGCAUCAGGGAACCCAGCCAAACGGACACAGCUGUAAAGACCUCAAUGUGAAAGGUCACCCCUCGCUCAGUCAGUUUACAACUUCUGGUCUCCAGGAAGGCCUGUACAAACGCUGUGUACACAUUCACACACACACAAAAUGAGCAGUCAGGCAGUGAAGCACAUGUGGGCAAGUAAGAGGCCUGCUGGGCACAAGAGGCAAAGAAUGUCUGAGGCAGAAAGGACAGCCUGGGUUUUAUGAGCUAAAAAUAUCUUGGUGACAACAGAUUGGGAAAAAAUGGGAGAGGCCCAGGGGGAAAGCUUCUUGAUUCCAACCCCCAGAUGCUUUCUCACAGGACUGCAGGAUUGUUUUGAUAAGGAAAUGUGAUCAAACGUUAGGAGUCAUUUUGUUGGAUUUGAACGGAGUUUAAAGUUUAACAUGCCUCAUCUGUGCUUUUUUUUUUUUUUUACUGCAGCAGUGGCCUGCAAUUCAUAUAUGUUUUAAAGGCUAAUCUAAAAUUGCCUGCAGCAGAAAAAUUAUUUGAAAUCAGGAUAUUUCUGAGAUUUCCAUUCUGCAAUGUAUAAAACACAGAUAUAAUUUAGACAAACUAUCCCCUAGAAUCUCUCCUUCCGAGUGCCCCUUAAAAGAAUUUGUGCAAAUAUGACUGCCUCCUCCUCCUCUUUUUAUUUUCAAAGCAUUCGAUAGCCUUUAACUCCUGAAUCCUGAGAGAAGCAGUCUUUAACAUGUUCUGUCUGUGUACCCUCCAAAACUGAGUAUCACGGCAUUAAGAACCUUUCCCCCCAACACGGUGUAUUGCAGACUUCACUCCUGCUUAGCUCACCCCACGCAAUUAACAGAAUGGAGUAACCAUAUUAUUCAUCCUUGUGAUGCUCCAUCAGUGGGGUGGACUGGGAUUAAAAAGGACUGUGGGGUGGCAUUUAAAGCUAAGCUGGCAGCCGAACAACAGUUAGCCUGAUUACAGCUAAUGGUACAUUGUCACGUGGAAAAUAAAAUCAGUAACUCAUUACAGGUAAAACAUGUUGAAAUUCCACGCCUCUCAUCCCAGGAGCAUAGACAGAAAAACUUAAAAACAAGGACUAUGUUGUUCUUGUGAGAUGCCAUUGAUUCAAUUUUCAACUCAUUGCAACUCCAUAUAACAAAGUAAAACUGCCCCAGAGGGUUUUCUUGGCUGUAAUCUUUAGGAGAAGAAGCCCUGAUGGUGCAGUGGUUAAGUGCUCUGCUGCUAAUCGAAAGGUCGGUGGUUUGAACCCACCAGCCACUCCAUGGAUUCCAAAGAUUAAAAAAAAAAACCAAAGAUUACAGCCUUGGAAAACCUAUGGGACAGUUCUACUCUGUCCUGUAAGGUCUCUAGGAGUCAGAAUCAACUUGACAGCAGUGGGUUUAAUCUUUACAAAAGCAGUAUGCCAGGCUUUUCUUCCAUGGAGCCACUGGGUAGGUUAAGCCACCAACCUUUCAGUCAGCAGCUGAGGCUCAACUGUUAUACCACCAGGGCUCCUUUGACAAGGGCUAUAUUAGGAGUCCUGGUGGCACAGUGGUUAAGAACUCGGCUGCUAACCAAAAGGUCGGCAGUUCAAAUCCACCAGCCUCUCCGUGGAAAGCUUACAGGGCAGUUCUACUCUGUCCUUAGGGUUGCUAUGAGUUGGAAUGAACUUGAUGGCAACGGGGUUAGUCUGGAUUUGUUUUAUAUUAGGGCCUUACUGUCACACGGAAAUGGCUUAGCAAUACUGAAAGCCCUGAAUCAGCCCAUCCCAGUUAGUCACAGCCUGAUAAUUGCCCAAAAUAAACAAUAACAAUUUGAAAAAGUAGUGGUUUGGAAAACGUUAAAGAUUCUGUGCAUCUGCCAUCUAAUAAUGGGUCUGAUCAUAGUCCUCAUCCUUACAUGGGAUCAGCAUAUGUUUAAGCUUCCUUUCAUAACACAUUAAAGGCCCCCCACAGAGUAACUGGUCAAGCUGAGGAGUGGCUUCCAGCUCCAGCUAAGCCAGUCACGCCAGCUUCUGGAGCCAAGCUUGUCUGCUGGUCCUUUGGCCAGCCUUGACUCUGCAGGCAAGUGCCCAGGACGAUUCUUCCUGGUUUACCUGAACGCAACAUGAAAGAAUUCAAGAACCCCCCUGUUCUUUCCUAUGUAUCAAGAGCCAUGUGGCUGCCCAGCCUCCCCCAGCCUUUUGCCCUGACUUUACCUUUACCUUUUGCUUUGAGGGUGGAUGAGUGAAAUAGAAAUCAAACUUUAUGAGGAAUGACCCCAUACCUACGAGGCAUUUGCUAGUAUCUGGCUGCUGGGGCAAUAGAAAAGUGUUGUGAAACAAAGUCCCUUUUCUCAAGGGACUAACCAUCUAGAAGCAGGAGAUGAAAUGAACAGAUAUGAAUAAUUAGCUAACAAUACCAAGUCUUCUAAGACCACCCAUCACGGCUAGCCCUUUGAGUACCUCUGACAUUAUCCUAGCCUUGUUUUAUUUGAAGGGAAUUUACACAUAAUCAUAUUAGUUCAUUCCCUAACCUCCUCCCUGCCCCAUUUUACUGAUGAUGAAAUGCAGGCCUGGGGAAGCCAAAGUGAAUUACCCAAGUCACAGCGCCAGCAAGAAGUAGGGAGUGAGAACUUGAAAGUAAGUUUCUUGACCUCUUUUUAUUAUUUAUUUGGUCUCAUUUUUCUCCCUUUCUUUUAAAAAUAUCUCCAUAUUCUAAGAGACCAUUUUGAGCUUGAAAGUCAUACGACGCUUACUUAGCUUCUAAGAUUAAGUAAUAGCAUUUCUCCUUUUGUUUUCCCUCAAGGCUCUGUCCAGCCCCCAGCAAAUGCCUAGGUUUCUUGGAAUGGGCGGAGGGCCGCGGAAGAGGGGCUGAGAAGGCGCCGGCAGCCAGCACAGAGCCAAAGAGAACUUCCUGGCCCAAGAAUGUGGUGUUGAUUUUUUCCCUGCAUGAAACAGGGAUCAGGAAAACAUGGGAGUUCUCUUUCCAUCUCCGCCACUGACGUGUUCUGGGGCCGGAAGCCAAUUACUUAAUCCUUGCCAUCCCCGGCUCCCUCCGAGAAGUGGGGCUUGUGUUCUUGAUCAAAACUUGUAGGGACACUAAGUACCCAAACAAAAAUAGUUCCCAGGCAGCUCUGAAAUGGAGAGUGUGUAGGUUCCUCUCCUCAAGGAGUUAAUCUCUGCUAGCCUGUUUGAAAUACUAAACCACCGACACUUUUUCUCGCAACAGAAGUCUAACUGUCAUUUUCUCAACCUGAGCUGGUCUCUACACGAACAAGUUAAAGGUGGGGAGAGGAAGGCAGAGGGGAGUAAAGACAGAUUACUUCAGUAUAGGAGAAAACAAAGUGUUUUGGAAAAUGGGUCAGUGGUUAAGAAAUAAGAUUGGGCAGGCGGCAACUCUGAAUAACUUACCUAGAGUCACCGCGGA